AUUUACAUAUCUUCUAGCCCGGCUUCCGUUCUUUUUUCCAGGGUAAUACUUAUUUUCAGUUAUUGCUUUCCUACGUCAAGUCUUCACGAUUCGCUCCAUGCUCCAUUCGCUCCAUAUUAAAUUUAUUCCACGGUUCAUUAAACGUAUCGUCACGUCUUAAUCUUUGAUGUUCACUAGUUUUUUCCUUAUUAAUAAAAAGAUACUUUUAUGGCACAGCUUAAAACACGAUCUAUAUUUACGUUUGUGUUUGUCUAUAUAUUAAGUGAUUCACCCACAUUAAAGUCGCGUCGUUGCAAUGUUAACUACGAUAUAUGAAUUCCAAAAAUGUUCUGCCCAAUUCCUAUUAUUACGAUUUUUCCAUUUUUCUGUUUUUACCUUGUCUAAUUCUUAUUGAUAUACGGCUGAAAGGUCAUCGGUGUAUUAUUUUCUACCUUAGUGUACUUACCUUAUUAAUACAUAUGUAAUAUUUUUCUCGAAUAUAUUAAAACGACCAUGUUCCACUGUAGUAUCUUCAGGAACGACCACAAUUCAGAACGCUGGUCUGACUUAAAUUAAUCAAUUUAUAUUUCACCCCCCACCCCUCUGUUUUAUCAGACGAUUUUUAUGAACUGACCCUCACUUAAGAGAAAACUUUAAUUAUCCUCCUUUUGGUCUCUGUAGGUAUUUAUUAAUGACGAUCGAAGUCCAUCGCUUGAUAUCAAGAUAUCUCCAUUAUGUACAUUUCAUCAUUUUCUUAACAAUCGUCG